rnacentral:lncRNA from 1 species
AAAAAAUCAAACCCCUAGAUCAAAGGAGAGCAAAAACUGCGGAUCUAAAAACCUCCCCCUCCCCCCCUCUCGUUCAUAACCUUCUUCAGCAGAACACCAAAAAAAAACUCCUCCAUUCCUUCUAAAAUCACAAGAAAAUAACAGGACUCUUCACUCAGAGAAGAAGAAGAAAGCUUUCCCUCCUUUCCGUCUCAUCUUACUCGUCUUUCCUUGUUUGUGACAAAUUGCGGAUCUAGCUAGAAGUGACAUUAAAUCCGGCAAUCCAUGGAGGAUCUAGUCAAACUCCAAGAGAUGAAACGAAAACUGAAAAUAAAGGAUUUGAAGGCUAUUUGAAUUUCUGCUCUCUUAUUUUCAAUUUUUCUGAAAUUUUUGAGUGACAUUUGGGUUGUAGAAGUGUGGUUGGGUCACUAAAUCUGUUGCUGUUAUGUUGCUAGGUUUCCUCUCAUUAUUUCAGAAGCUUGUUUGUGGUGUUUUCUUCAUUUAAUUCCGGCUUGGUUAGGUAUGUACACAUCUGCCCGAAAUCUUCUUUUGAAUACGAAUGAAUAGUCGAAUUGUUGACUCUAUGAAUAUGUUUGAUUCUUCGUAUUCUUCUAGUCGGAUUGUUGGUUAAUUUCCGUUGUCAUCAAUUCUGUUUUUGUGAUAAUUUUGACUGUUGAAUUAUAUGUAAAUUUGUUUUGUCGACUAAAUCUAUCCGAUUUUGUAGUGAAUAGCUAAAAUCUCAGUUGAAAUCACAAUCACCUAGCUAAGUACGCACUGCUGGGGCCUCUGUUUGUGAUUAUUGCACUGAAGAGCCAAAUUUGAUUUUUUUUUAAUGAUGUAAUGGCUAAUGAUUCUGAAUUGUUUUCCCAUUUUAUUGAUUAAUUCUGAACAUGCAAGCUCAACUCUGCUCUAUUGCAAAUAUUCAUGAUGUAUUAAUUUUUAGUAUAUAGAUCUAGAUUUUCCUUAUUCAACUUCACGUGACUCAUCCCAUUUGGUGGUCGAUUGGCGUGAAUGGAAAGAAUCUUUUCUGCAAAUUUUUGUGUGUGAAGACAUUUGGUUGAGUGUUUUAAUUGAGUAUUAAAUAACCAUAAGAGUUACUGCAAUUUCGCACGUAUAUAGAGCCAUAUGAUCUUGAAUGUGUUUGUGUAACUUGUAAAAUCAGGUUAUCACUCCUUUUAA